CAAAGCGGAGGAAAAGAAACCAACAGGGAUUGCCCCAGUAGCGGCGAGUGAAGCGGCAAAAGCUCAGAUUUGGAAUCGCUUCGGCGAGUUGUGAAUUGCAGGUUGGCGCCUCUGCGGCGGCGGCGGUCCAAGUCCCUUGGAACAGGGCGCCAUUGAGGGUGAGAGCCCCGUGGGACCGUUUGCCUAUGCUCUGAGGCCCUUCUGACGAGUCGAGUUGUUUGGGAAUGCAGCUCUAAGCGGGUGGUAAAUUCCAUCUAAGGCUAAAUACUGGCGAGAGACCGAUAGCGAACAAGUACUGUGAAGGAAAGAUGAAAAGCACUUUGAAAAGAGAGUGAAACAGCACGUGAAAUUGUUGAAAGGGAAGGGUAUUGCGCCCGACAUGGAGCGUGCGCACCGCUGCCCCUCGUGGGCGGCGCUCUGGGCGUGCUCUGGGCCAGCAUCGGUUUUUGCCGCGGGAGAAGGGCGGCGGGCAUGUAGCUCUUCGGAGUGUUAUAGCCUGCCGCCGGCGCCGCGAGCGGGGACCGAGGACUGCGACUUUUGUCUCGGAUGCUGGCACAACGGCGCAACACCGCCCGUCUUGACC
rnacentral:rRNA from 1 species